AAAACAUUUCUUCUUCAUGCUUUAAACUGUACUUUGUAUUAGAAUAAAUUUAGUUAUUGCAUUUAGUACUUGUAUUUUGAUAUUUCUUAUAUUUAUGAUAUUAAAUUAUAUUGGUAGCAUGCAGACAACUCAGUCCCAGAAAUGAAUAUUACAUGCAUCCAUCAGUUGUGCAAAGAGUUGGCUUGGAUGUAAUCAACUUACAGAGGAUGAUAAAAGUAAGUGAAUGGUAGUAAUGGAUACAUCCAUAUACAAUGAUAUGCUACAGGACUAUAUUAUAGACACAACAGCAGAAUGCAUUAAUAAAGACUCUACUGAUCAUCAUGAGUGCAUAAACUUCUCAGGAAAAACAAAUUUCCUGAGUUCUUGAAAGGACAAAUAAUACAUACUCCAUCAUGUCUGAGACUUUCUGUCUUUGUCAAACUCCACAAAAAUCCUAUGGAGUUAUGACCCAUCAUUGGUAAAACCACUACAACCCACAUACAAUUUAAAAAAAAGUCUAGCAGCAUGAUGCAGAAGUAAAUUUCGUGACUACUGCCAUUGUGUUGAAUCACCAUAUGAAUUUUUAGAUAGGUUAAAUGAAGUAAAACCUUUACCGUAUGAAGUACUCACCAACUAAGGAUUACAAAAGUUUAUAUCUGUCAAUAGGAAUUGAAUCUGCCACUCUCACACUACAAUGCUUGAUAUAUCAAUAUAUAGAUGACAAUCACAUGGCCAGAGAAGACAUGAAAGAACUCAGUUAUUUAAUGUGCGAUUGUUCAUACUUUGUAUUUACUAUUUAAUGAAAAAUUUUACCUUCAAACAAGAGGCUUUCCAAUGGGAAGUCGUAUAACAGGCUCCCUAGCAGAACUAGUUGUUGGCAUGAAAGAGGAGAAAAUUGUAGACAUGCUAAAGACGAACAUCUGUUUAUAUACUUGUUACAUAGAUGAUGUGUUUACAGCUUGGUCCAGUCCUGAAUUCAUACAUAAGUUUGCUGAAAUGAUGAGCAAUGAAACGAAGUGUAUAGCCAUCCUGUUACACUCACAAAAUGCACACAAAAAACAAAGCUCCAAAC
rnacentral:lncRNA from 1 species